UUGCGCAAGUGCUAUUUAUCAGAGCAAUCUUCGCAAUCCCCUGCCGCACCAUUCGACCUAUCUUUAUCACCAGAAUCACUGCCCGGACAUCAGUCCACGGCGACGCGCCCCAGACGGGCGGUCGCGGCCGGCCAUCCAACAGGAUCCGCCAGGCCCCCGGGCUACGCACUGUCCAGAAGACGGCGCGAGGUGAGCCGGUGUCACAAGCGCCGAGCACGGACGACAAUUCCCGAAGGGAGGCCGCAAGGCCUCCCU
rnacentral:sRNA from 18 species